AUUGAACGCUGGCGGCAGGCCUAACACAUGCAAGUCGAGCGAGCGGCGGACGGGUGAGUAAUGUCUGGGAAACUGCCUGAUGGAGGGGGAUAACUACUGGAAACGGUAGCUAAUACCGCCUACCAUCAGAUGUGCCCAGGUGGGCUUAGCUGGUAGGUGGGGUAACGGCUCACCUAGGCGACGAUCCCUAGCUGGUCUGAGAGGAUGACCAGCAACACUGGAACUGAGACACGGGCCAGACUCCUACGGGAGGAAGCAGUGGGGAAUAUUGCACAAGGGGAGAAAGCCUGAUGCAGCCAUGCCGAGUGUGGGAAGAAGGCCUUCGGGUUGUAAAGCACUUUCAGCGGGGAGGCGUUACCCGCAGAAGAAGCACCGGCUAACUCCGUGCCAGCAGCCGCGGUAAUUCC
rnacentral:rRNA from 1 species